CAGAAAAGGAGCUUGCUCCUUUGACGUUAGCGGCGGACGGGUGAGUAACACGUGGGCAACCUACCCUAUAGUUUGGGAUAACUCCGGGAAACCGGGGCUAAUACCGAAUAAUCUCUUUUACUUCAUGGUGAAAGACUGAAAGACGGCAUCUCGCUGUCGCUAUAGGAUGGGCCCGCGGCGCAUUAGCUAGUUGGUGAGGUAACGGCUCACCAAGGCGACGAUGCGUAGCCGACCUGAGAGGGUGAUCGGCCACACUGGGACUGAGACACGGCCCAGACUCCUACGGGAGGCAGCAGUAGGGAAUCUUCCACAAUGGGCGAAAGCCUGAUGGAGCAACGCCGCGUGAGUGAAGAAGGUUUUCGGAUCGUAAAACUCUGUUGUAAGGGAAGAACAAGUACAGUAGUAACUGGCUGUACCUUGACGGUACCUUAUUAGAAAGCCACGGCUAACUACGUGCCAGCAGCCGCGGUAAUACGUAGGUGGCAAGCGUUGUCCGGAAUUAUUGGGCGUAAAGCGCGCGCAGGCGGUCCUUUAAGUCUGAUGUGAAAGCCCACGGCUCAACCGUGGAGGGUCAUUGGAAACUGGGGGACUUGAGUGCAGAAGAGGAAAGUGGAAUUCCAAGUGUAGCGGUGAAAUGCGUAGAGAUUUGGAGGAACACCAGUGGCGAAGGCGACUUUCUGGUCUGUAACUGACGCUGAGGCGCGAAAGCGUGGGGGAGCAAACAGGAUUAGAUACCCUGGUAGUCCACGCCGUAAACGAUGAGUGCUAAGUGUUAGGGGGUUUCCGCCCCUUAGUGCUGCAGCUAACGCAUUAAGCACUCCGCCUGGGGAGUACGGUCGCAAGACUGAAACUCAAAGGAAUUGACGGGGGCCCGCACAAGCGGU
rnacentral:rRNA from 1 species